UUUAUCACCCUCAAAGUUUCCCUCAUGCCCCUUUAUAGUCAACCCCUCCCCCUGGCCCAGCCUUUCAUAACAGUAAUCUAUUUUCUGUCCCUAAGGUUUUCCCUUCUCCAGAAUGUCACAUCAAUGGACUCAUACAGCAUGCAGCCAUUUGGUCCUGGCUUCUUUCACUUAGCCUAAUGCCUUUGAGAUUUAUCCAUGUUGUUUGUAUCAACAAUGUAAAAACACAUAACAUUAAACUUACCAUCAUAAUAAAUUUUAAGUUCAGUAAUGUUGAGCGUUUUCACAUUGUUGUGCAAUAGAUCUCUAGAACUUUUUCAUCUUACAACACUGAAACUCUACUAAUUCCCCUUCCCCUCCCCACAGCCCUUCAUAACCACCUUUCCUUUUUCUGUUUUUGUGAUUCUACUUUAGAUACUUCAUAUAAGUGGAACCACACAGUAUUUGUCCUUUUGUGACCGGCUUCUUAUACUUAGCAUAUGUCCUGGAAGUUCAUCCAGGUUGUAGCCUGUGACAGGAUUUCCUUCUUUUUAAGCCUGUAUAAUAUUUCAUUGCAGGUAUGUACCGCACUUCUUUUUUUAAAAAAUUAUCUGAGUAUAGUUGACACACAAUGUUACCUUAGUUUCAGGUGCACAGCAUAGUGACUGGACAAGUUUAUAUAUUAUGCUGUGUUUAUAAGUGUAGCUACACCUGUUACCAUACAACAGUAUUAUAAUAUCAUUGUGUAGUCUUGGCACCCUGGUUGAAAAUCAUUUGACCAUAGAUGCAAAGGUUUAUUUCAAUCCACUCCUUUUUAUUGCUGACAAGUAUUCCAUGAUGGAUAUACCACCAUUUCUUCAUUCACCCGUUGAAAGUAUUUGGGUCUUUCCAGUUUGGGCGAUUCCAAUUAAGUCAUUAUAAACACUCACAUACAGAUUUUGUGCGAGUAUCUAUUUUCAUUUAUCUUGGGAACAUAUACCUAGGAGUCAGGUUUCUGUGUUGUAUAGUGGGUGUGUGUUUAAUGUUAUAAGAAAUUGCCCAACUUUUUCCCAAAGCAACUGCACAUUUUGCAUUCUCACCAGUAGCGUAUGAGAUUUCCAGCUGCUCCACAUGCUUGUAAAAACUUAAUAUCAUCAGUUUUGUUUUCAUUUUUGUUUUUAGCUGUUCUAGUAAGUGCGUGAUGGUGUCUCACUGUGGCUUUAUUAGUUGGCUUUUAAUAAACUCAGUCAUUUUGUGAUCACACAGAUUCCAUUACAUUUUAAUCUUGGGGCUGCCAGGAGCACUUGUUAAAUGCUAGACGAAGAAAUGAAUUCUUUAUUUUUCUGCAGGCGAAGAGCCUCAAGAAAAAUGGAAGUGAGCUGGCCUCUUGGUGCAACUGAGGGGCACUGCUCUCUCCUCCCCCACUUCUAUUUCUAUGUCUGUGCUGUAAACAUGUUUUCAUCGUUGCCCUCAGGACCUACAGGUACUUGGGACCUUCAAUCCCUGAGCCCUUCUGGGGCUCAACAGCUGCGACUGGCUUGCUCCUCAUUGGCAUCUCCUUCUGCAAAACCUAGGGUUUUUCCACUCAGCCAAAUCAUCCAUCCACUCUCUAGCCUCCAAAAAGGAUUUGGUAUCUCUCGUGAGCAGUCAUCAGCUCUCCGAUUCUGUGUGGUAAGGUUAGACCUCUUUGAUGCUUCUUUUACCAUGUUAGUAGUGUUUCAGGAGAGCACAGAAAUAAGUGGCCGGGUUCUGUCUAUGUAUUUCUGUAUGUUUCAUGUAAACAUUUUCCAUAUCAGGUGUAGAGAGGCAGCAUAGAAAAAUGAUUAAAAGUAUACGUUAUGGCCCCCACGGUGUUUGGGUUCAGAUCCCUAGUUCUGCUACUUGCUAGCUGUGUAGUCUUGGGCAUGCUUUCUAUGCUCAGAUUCCUCAUCUAUAAAAUAGGGAUAAUAGUGAUACCAGUCUCAAAAUGGUGUGUGUGGCAUGGUAAUGGAUGUUUAUUAAGAACUCCAAAAGGUUACAAAUGUUAUUAAAGAAAGGGUACAGGUUUUCUUAAUUGGAAAAGACAAAAUGGGAUGUCUGGUUGGCUCAGUCAACAGAGCAUGUGACUCUUGAUCUCAGGGUCAUGAGUUCAAACCCCACGUUCCGCAUAGAGCUUACCUUAAAAAAAAAAAGGAAAGACAAAAUGAUGUUGAUUAAUUCUGCCAAAAGCUAGAGGAGAACAAUUAAUUCUCUGGAAAAUUUUGUCGUGAAGUUGACUGUAUUUACCUUAGGGCUUUAGUGGCUUUGAAUCCUGCAGAUUCACUUUUUCCCUGCAGGUGGCAACCUUUGUUACCAAAACUUAGUUCCUCAGCUAGGGCUGACCCUGAGGGGGGAAAUAAACCCUAUAACUUUAUUCUUUCAUUGGUUUGAUCAUUUCCUCAGUAAGUAUUUACCGAGUACCUACUGUGUGCCAGGAACCAGGGAAACACUAGUGGUCAAGUACACACCAGCACUGCCUUCUCAAACUUAAUGGUUUGCAAUAGCCCUGGAACUUACUUCAAAGAAGCUGAGAGGACCCUCCCUCCCCCCACAUCCCUCUUCCAAGAAAACCUUCCAUAUGAAUGGGCUUGGGUGUGCAAGCCCUAACUAGAGUUCUACUAAGAAACAGAAUGUCCUCUGGAGCAAAAAUGAUGCUGUAAAGGACAUUACUUAACACCAAUACUUUCUCAGGCCUUCUUGCACUUAAAGACUUUCCUAAGUCCCACCCUCCAAUGAAAGGGUUGGGAGACUAAGAGGCAUUGAGAUAGUCACCAGUGCAGAAAGGGGUGUUGCAGUGUUGAAGUAGCUGGACGGGAGGAUUUAGGAAUUACAGGCCAAAGAUAACAACUCUCAAAGUGUCCCCCAAAUUUUUAAGCCAAACAUCUCCUUUUGAAGAAAACAUUAUCCAGAAUUUGGAAUUAAGACCAAAAGAGGGCGGCAUAGUUCUUUCCAUGUUAUCUGGGACAUUGUUUAACAAGCCCACCCAAGGAUGAAUUCUCUAACAGGGGUCUGGAAACUUUUCUUAUAAAGGUCUAAAUAGUAAAUAUUUUAGGCUUUCAGGCUAUAUUCUCAACCAUUCAACUCUGGUGUCUUAGCACUCUCAUUGUACAGCAAAGGCAGCCUUAGACAACAUGUAAAAUGGCUAUGGCUGUGUUCCAAUAAAACUUUAUUACAAAUGUAAGCAGCAGGGCCAGAUUUGGCCUUCUGGUCAUAUAUAUAAGACAAAGAAUGUAACUUUUUUUGCCUAGCUAUUUACUAUUGGUUAAAGGCUCAGGUUUUUGUCUGGUAGAAAAUUUCAAAUCAUUUCUAACCAGUACAAAAAAAUAAACUCCAAAAUUUAUAGUUUCUAUUACCCUGUGGAGAUUAACCAGUUUUGUAUUUAAGUUUCCUACUUCUCAAAAUGCUUUCUGAACCAGCCUUACUAUAUUACUGUCUCCUCUUUAACAAGUUAAAUAAAUUUUUGACGUUUAUCCUGUA